rnacentral:rRNA from 1 species
GAUGAACGCUGGCGGCGUGCUUAACACAUGCAAGUCGAACGAUGAAGCCCAGCUUGCUGGGUGGAUUAGUGGCGAACGGGUGAGUAACACGUGAGUAACCUGCCCUUGACUCUGGGAUAAGCCUGGGAAACUGGGUCUAAUACUGGAUAUGACUUCUCAUCGCAUGGUGGGGGGUGGAAAGAUUUAUUGGUCUUGGAUGGACUCGCGGCCUAUCAGCUUGUUGGUGAGGUAAUGGCUCACCAAGGCGACGACGGGUAGCCGGCCUGAGAGGGUGACCGGCCACACUGGGACUGAGACACGGCCCAGACUCCUACGGGAGGCAGCAGUGGGGAAUAUUGCACAAUGGGCGCAAGCCUGAUGCAGCGACGCCGCGUGAGGGAUGACGGCCUUCGGGUUGUAAACCUCUUUCAGUAGGGAAGAGGCGAGAGCGACGGUACCUGCAGAAGAAGCGCCGGCUAACUACGUG